UGGAAGUAAAAGUCGUAACAAGGUCUCCGUUGGUGAACCAGCGGAGGGAUCAUUACCGAGUUAUACAACUCAUCAACCCCUGUGAACUUACCUACAACGUUGCCUCGGCGGGAACAGACGGCCCCGUAGAACGGGCCGCCCCCGCCAGAGGACCCCCUAACUCUGUUUCUAUAAUGUUUCUUCUGAGUAAACAAGCAAAUAAAUUAAAACUUUCAACAACGGAUCUCUUGGCUCUGGCAUCGAUGAAGAACGCAGCGAAAUGCGAUAAGUAAUGUGAAUUGCAGAAUUCAGUGAAUCAUCGAAUCUUUGAACGCACAUUGCGCCCGCCAGUAUUCUGGCGGGCAUGCCUGUUCGAGCGUCAUUACAACCCUCAGACCCCCGGGUCUGGCGUUGGGGAUCGGCGGAGCCCUCUGCGGGCACACGCCGUCCCCCAAAUACAGUGGCGGUCACGCCGCAGCUUCCAUUGCGUAGUAGCUAACACCUCGCAACUGGAGAGCGGCGCGGCCAUGCCGUAAAACACCCAACUUCUGAAUGUUGACCUCGAAUCAGGUAGGAAUACCCGCUGAACUUAAGCAUAUCAAUAAAGCGGAGG
rnacentral:misc_RNA from 1 species